GGGUUGUGAGGUUAAGCGACUAAGCGUACACGGUGGAUGCCCUGGCAGUCAGAGGCGAUGAAGGACGUGCUAAUCUGCGAAAAGCGUCGGUAAGGUGAUAUGAACCGUUAUAACCGGCGAUGUCCGAAUGGGGAAACCCAGUGCAAUUCGUUGCACUAUCGUUAACUGAAUACAUAGGUUAACGAGGCGAACCGGGGGAACUGAAACAUCUAAGUACCCCGAGGAAAAGAAAUCAACCGAGAUUCCCCCAGUAGCGGCGAGCGAACGGGGAGCAGCCCAGAGUCUGAAUCAGCUUGUGUGUUAGUGGAACGGUCUGGAAAGUCCGACGGUACAGGGUGAUAGUCCCGUACACCAAAAUGCACAGGCUGUGAACUCGAAGAGUAGGGCGGGACACGUGGUAUCCUGUCUGAAUAUGGGGGGACCAUCCUCCAAGGCUAAAUACUCCUGACUGACCGAUAGUGAACCAGUACCGUGAGGGAAAGGCGAAAAGAACCCCGGCGAGGGGAGUGAAAAAGAACCUGAAACCGUGUACGUACAAGCAGUGGGAGCACCUUCGGGUGUGACUGCGUACCUUUUGUAUAAUGGGUCAGCGACUUAUAUUCUGUAGCAAGGUUAACCGUAUAGGGGAGCCGCAGGGAAACCGAGUCUUAACUGGGCGUUAAGUUGCAGGGUAUAGACCCGAAACCCGGUGAUCUAGCCAUGGGCAGGUUGAAGGUUGGGUAACACUAACUGGAGGACCGAACCGACUAAUGUUGAAAAAUUAGCGGAUGACUUGUGGCUGGGGGUGAAAGGCCAAUCAAACCGGGAGAUAGCUGGUUCUCCCCGAAAGCUAUUUAGGUAGCGCCUCGUGAAUUCAUCUUCGGGGGUAGAGCACUGUUUCGGCUAGGGGGUCAUCCCGACUUACCAACCCGAUGCAAACUACGAAUACCGAAGAAUGUUAUCACGGGAGACACACGGCGGGUGCUAACGUCCGUCGUGAAGAGGGAAACAACCCAGACCGCCAGCUAAGGUCCCAAAGUCAUGGUUAAGUGGGAAACGAUGUGGGAAGGCACAGACAGCCAGGAUGUUGGCUUAGAAGCAGCCAUCAUUUAAAGAAAGCGUAAUAGCUCACUGGUCGAGUCGGCCUGCGCGGAAGAUGUAACGGGGCUAAACCAUGCACCGAAGCUGCGGCAGCGACACUAUGUGUUGUUGGGUAGGGGAGCGUUCUGUAAGCCUGCGAAGGUGUGCUGUGAGGCAUGCUGGAGGUAUCAGAAGUGCGAAUGCUGACAUAAGUAACGAUAAAGCGGGUGAAAAGCCCGCUCGCCGGAAGACCAAGGGUUCCUGUCCAACGUUAAUCGGGGCAGGGUGAGUCGACCCCUAAGGCGAGGCCGAAAGGCGUAGUCGAUGGGAAACAGGUUAAUAUUCCUGUACUUGGUGUUACUGCGAAGGGGGGACGGAGAAGGCUAUGUUAGCCGGGCGACGGUUGUCCCGGUUUAAGCAUGUAGGCUGGUUGUCCAGGCAAAUCCGGAUAAUCAAGGCUGAGGUGUGAUGACGAGGCACUACGGUGCUGAAGUAACAAAUGCCCUGCUUCCAGGAAAAGCCUCUAAGCAUCAGGUAACAUCAAAUCGUACCCCAAACCGACACAGGUGGUCAGGUAGAGAAUACCAAGGCGCUUGAGAGAACUCGGGUGAAGGAACUAGGCAAAAUGGUGCCGUAACUUCGGGAGAAGGCACGCUGGUGUGUAGGUGAAGCCCCUGCGGGUGGAGCUGAGACCAGUCGAAGAUACCAGCUGGCUGCAACUGUUUAUUAAAAACACAGCACUGUGCAAACACGAAAGUGGACGUAUACGGUGUGACGCCUGCCCGGUGCCGGAAGGUUAAUUGAUGGGGUUAUCCGUAAGGAGAAGCUCUUGAUCGAAGCCCCGGUAAACGGCGGCCGUAACUAUAACGGUCCUAAGGUAGCGAAAUUCCUUGUCGGGUAAGUUCCGACCUGCACGAAUGGCGUAAUGAUGGCCAGGCUGUCUCCACCCGAGACUCAGUGAAAUUGAACUCGCUGUGAAGAUGCAGUGUACCCGCGGCAAGACGGAAAGACCCCGUGAACCUUUACUAUAGCUUGACACUGAACAUUGAGCCUUGAUGUGUAGGAUAGGUGGGAGGCUUUGAAGCGUGGACGCCAGUCUGCGUGGAGCCAACCUUGAAAUACCACCCUUUAAUGUUUGAUGUUCUAACGUUGGCCCCUUACCGGGGUUGCGGACAGUGUCUGGUGGGUAGUUUGACUGGGGCGGUCUCCUCCCAAAGCGUAACGGAGGAGCACGAAGGUUAGCUAAUCCUGGUCGGACAUCAGGAGGUUAGUGCAAUGGCAUAAGCUAGCUUGACUGCGAGCGUGACGGCGCGAGCAGGUGCGAAAGCAGGUCAUAGUGAUCCGGUGGUUCUGAAUGGAAGGGCCAUCGCUCAACGGAUAAAAGGUACUCCGGGGAUAACAGGCUGAUACCGCCCAAGAGUUCAUAUCGACGGCGGUGUUUGGCACCUCGAUGUCGGCUCAUCACAUCCUGGGGCUGAAGUAGGUCCCAAGGGUAUGGCUGUUCGCCAUUUAAAGUGGUACGCGAGCUGGGUUUAGAACGUCGUGAGACAGUUCGGUCCCUAUCUGCCGUGGGCGCUGGAGAAUUGAGGGGGGCUGCUCCUAGUACGAGAGGACCGGAGUGGACGCAUCACUGGUGUUCGGGUUGUCAUGCCAAUGGCACUGCCCGGUAGCUAAAUGCGGAAGAGAUAAGUGCUGAAAGCAUCUAAGCACGAAACUUGCCCCGAGAUGAGUUCUCCCUGAGACUUUAAGUCUCCUGAAGGAACGUUAAAGACGAUGACGUUGAUAGGCCGGGUGUGUAAGCGCAGCGAUGCGUUGAGCUAACCGGUACUAAUGAACCGUGAGGCUUAACCUUACAACGCCGAAG
rnacentral:rRNA from 1 species